rnacentral:rRNA from 1 species
ACGCUGGCGGCGUGCUUAACACAUGCAAGUCGAGCGGUAAGGCCCUUUCGGGGGUACACGAGCGGCGAACGGGUGAGUAACACGUGAGCAAUCUGCCCCUGUCUCUGGGAUAACCACUGGAAACGGUGGCUAAUACCGGAUAUGACCUCCUUCUGCAUGGUUGGUGGUGGAAAAGUCCGCUGGACAGGGAUGAGCUCGCGGCCUAUCAGCUUGUUGGUGGGGUAAUGGCCUACCAAGGCGACGACGGGUAGCCGGCCUGAGAGGGUGACCGGCCACACUGGGACUGAGACACGGCCCAGACUCCUACGGGAGGCAGCAGUGGGGAAUAUUGGACAAUGGGCGAAAGCCUGAUCCAGCAACGCCGCGUGAGGGAUGACGGCCUUCGGGUUGUAAACCUCUUUCAGCAGGGACGAAGCGAAAGUGACGGUACCUGCAGAAGAAGGACCGGCCAACUACGUGCCAGCAGCCGCGGUAAUACGUAGGGUCCGAGCGUUGUCCGGAAUUAUUGGGCGUAAAGGGCUCGUAGGCGGUUUGUCACGUCGGGAGUGAAAACUCAGGGCUUAACCCUGAGCGUGCUUCCGAUACGGGCUGACUAGAGGGAUGCAGGGGAGAACGGAAUUCCUGGUGUAGCGGUGGAAUGCGCAGAUAUCAGGAGGAACACCGGUGGCGAAGGCGGUUCUCUGGGCAUUUCCUGACGCUGAGGAGCGAAAGCAUGGGGAGCGAACAGGAUUAGAUACCCUGGUAGUCCAUGCCGUAAACGUUGGGCGCUAGGUGUGGGGACCUUCCACGGUUUCCGUGCCGCAGCUAACGCAUUAAGCGCCCCGCCUGGGGAGUACGGCCGCAAGGCUAAAACUCAAAGGAAUUGACGGGGGCCCGCACAAGCGGCGGAGCAUGCUGAUUAAUUCGAUGCAACGCGAAGAACCUUACCUGGGUUUGACAUAUGCCGGAAAGCGCCAGAGAUGGUGCC